rnacentral:rRNA from 1 species
GAUCAUGGCUCAGGAUGAACGCUAGCUACAGGCUUAACACAUGCAAGUCGAGGGGCAUCGGGAAGAAAGCUUGCUUUCUUUGCUGGCGACCGGCGCACGGGUGAGCAACACGUAUCCAACCUGCCCUUUACUCGGGGGAUAGCCUUUCGAAAGAAAGAUUAAUACCCGAUGGGAUAAUUAUUCCGCAUGGUUUGAUUAUUAAAGGGAUUCCGGUAAAGGAUGGGGAUGCGUUCCAUUAGGUUGUUGGUGAGGUAACGG